rnacentral:rRNA from 1 species
AUUGAACGCUGGCGGCAUGCCUUGCACAUGCAAGUCGAACGGCAGCACGGGAGCAAUCCUGGUGGCGAGUGGCGAACGGGUGAGUAAAGUAUCGGAACGUGCCCAGUCGUGGGGGAUAACGUAGCGAAAGUUACGCUAAUACCGCAUACGAUCUAUGGAUGAAAGCGGGGGAUCGCAAGACCUCGCGCGAUUGGAGCGGCCGAUAUCAGAUUAGGUAGUUGGUGGGGUAAAGGCUCACCAAGCCGACGAUCUGUAGCUGGUCUGAGAGGACGACCAGCCACACUGGGACUGAGACACGGCCCAGACUCCUACGGGAGGCAGCAGUGGGGAAUUUUGGACAAUGGGCGCAAGCCUGAUCCAGCCAUGCCGCGUGCAGGAUGAAGGCCUUCGGGUUGUAAACUGCUUUUGUACGGAACGAAAAGGUUUGACUUAAUAAGCUGAGCUCAUGACGGUACCGUAAGAAUAAGCACCGGCUAACUACGUGCCAGCAGCCGCCGUAA